GCCUCGGUUGAUGGUGUAUUUGUCCAGAGAAAUUAGCCCUUGUUUCUGUGUUGGUUUCCAGGAAUAUAAUAUUUUGGGGACAGUUUAAGGUUAACUUCUUGGCUUAAAUAGUAUACAUUUCAAGUUCAAACCUGCAUAAAAGCAGGGAAAUGAUUAGAAAUUGUCAAGGAAAUGUUUAGGCCAAGAUAACAACAUUUCAUGUUGUCAUUUGAUACGUGCAGCACCUGACAAAGUCACCUGUGGAAAAUGUAAAUCGGAUCACAAAGCCUCUCG
rnacentral:lncRNA from 1 species